UGCACUAACGAUGAUCCGCUGCCUCACUUCUCCACGGGUCCUUCCUCCCUUUGCUUUAUCGCCUCACCAAUCCUCUUUGUGUCCUGUUCAACUCCCAACCACUUGGCAUCAGCUGCUGUUGUACCCGUCAGUCCAGACCACUGUUCUCUGUUGCCUGGAUCGUUGCGCAGCCUCUUGCUCGAGCUCCCUGCUUCCACUCGGCCUUUUGUGACUCUCUGCAUUGCAGAGCAUUUACGAUGAUUGCUUGCAGAAGACAUUUGUACUUAUUAUGUCCUUAUUUGAACACCCUGCGGUGGCUUCCAUUGGUCUUAGACUAAAAUCCAAACAUCUUAGUUUUUUAGGACUCUUCGGGCCUGGCCCUUGCCUGCCCGGGAUCCCAGCCGUGGAGGCUUGCUCAUGGCUCCAGCCACAUUCGCCUGCUUGCACUUUUUUUUUUUUUUUCUUUGAGGCAGAGUCUUGCUCUGUCGCCCAGGCUGGAGUACACUGGCACGAUCUUGGCUCAAUGCAGCCUUUGCCUCCUGGGUUCAAACGAUUCUCCUGCCUCAGCCUCCCGAGUAGCUGGGAUUACAGGCACUUGCCACCACUUCUGGCUAAUUUUUGUAUUUUUAGUAGAGAUGGGGUUUCACCGUGUUUGCCAGGCUGGUCUUGAACUCCUGGCUUCAAGUGAUCUGUCCUCCUUGGUCUCCCAAAGUGCUGGGAUUACGGGCAUGAGCCACUACAUCCAGCUGCCUGCUUGCACUUCUCACUAUAAGCUGGUUCCUGCCUCCAGGCCUUCAUGUUUGCCAUUUCCUCUGUCUAGAAUCUUCCCCUGGAUCUUCCCAUGGAUCAUCUGCCUUGUCAUUCAACCUAAUGUCACCUCUUCAGAGAGGCCAGCCCUUAGCUGCUUCCCCCUUGUCCCUGCACUCUCUCUCACAGCAUUUUUCACCCCCCAGGAAUUGGCUUCUCUGUAUCCACCCUGGAAUUUCAGUUCCACAGGACAGGGACAGUGCCUGUCUAUCCAGUGCCAGGCACAGUGACCAUACUUUGUGGAUGAGGAGGGGGUACAUGUUGAAUAAGAGCCUAGAAACAGCUGCCAGCUCAGUCCUCUCUUCCUGCCAGCUUUGUUGACGAGGACCUUCACUGACCAUGUGAUGCUGUUCACGCAAACCAAGAAGCAGGCCCACCGCAUGCACAUCCUCCUGGGGCUCAUGGGGCUGCAGGUGGGCGAGCUCCAUGGCAACUUGUCACAGACGCAGCGGCUGGAGGCCCUCCGGUAACAUUUGGGGUGGGGACUGAGGCUCCCACCAUCCUUCUGGGGCAGAGAGGAUAGAAGGAGGAAGAGGACCCUGAGCAUUCUAUUAGAGCAUUAGCAGGGGACACAUAGCAUGAUCUUGGCCUUGAACAUUUUAACCUAACCACUGUGAGGUCAUGUCUUAGAUGUGUUUAGAACUCUAACUUCAUAGUCAGAGAUGACCCUCAUGUCCUUGGAUGCUUGUCCCUAGCAUGGGAGCUGUUGUGUGGCGUGACAGAGGAAGCUGGCUUGGAAAGGCAACACAUGGUCUCUUCUUGGAAGCUUUCUGAGAGUGGUGAACAUUCCUGGGUCUGAUUGAACAAGAUUUAGAGUCAAAGUUAGCAGCCAUUACUUGAGCAUCUACUUUGCCAGGCACCGUGCCGCGUGCUUUCCAUGUGAUUUCUUGUUUAGUCCUCAGAGAAUGGCAUCAAGGUGGUUGGCAAGGAGGAACCCUUUAGAACUCUCCACCUAACCCUGUUCAUCAGUGGGUGCUGAAAGGUGUUUGUUAAAGAUAGGCUGAUUUAAACUGAGACAAUUGCCUAUGCUGUUAGCAGAUACAGAACUACGUUUGCUCUGUAUGAUGGGUUGUUGAAGGGUGGGUGUAAAUAUCCCAUGUGCUCACAUUUAGAAUCUAUCCCUAUUUUUUUUUUUUUUUUUUGAGACGGAGUCUUGCUCUGUCGCCCAGGCUGGAGUGCAGUGGCGCAAUCUUGGCUUACUGCAAGCUCCGCCUCCCAGGUUCACGCCAUUCUCCUGCCUCAGCCUUCCAAGUAGCUGGGACUACAGGCGCCCGCCACCAUGCCCGGCUAAUUUUUUGUAUUUUUAGUAGAGACGGGGUUUCACCGUGUUAGCCAGGAUGGUCUCGAUCUCCUGACCUCGUGAUCCGCCCACCUCGGCUUCCCAAAGUGCUGGGAUUACAGGUGUGAGCCACCGUGCCCAGCCUCUAUCCCCAUUUUAAUGCCCUGUUUUGUCCUCUGCUGGCUCAGGCUCUUGUGGAGCAUUAUUAGGGGAGGGUGUCUGGAUGAACAGCUGUUUGUGACUGUUUCUAGGCGUUUUAAGGAUGAACAGAUUGACAUCCUCGUGGCCACUGAUGUGGCAGCCCGUGGACUUGACAUUGAGGGGGUCAAAACGGUGAGCAGACCCUAUCUUCCUUGGACUUUUGGUGGAAGUCUUUUUGCCUCUUCGCACCCCCCUUCCCUUGCCAGGCCUGACUGGUGUUCAUUUUUGACCUUCUAGGUAAUCAACUUCACAAUGCCUAAUACCAUCAAACAUUAUGUCCACCGGGUGGGGCGAACAGCACGUGCUGGCAGGGCUGGGCGCUCAGUCUCUCUGGUGGGAGAAGAUGAGCGGAAGAUGCUGAAGGAGAUUGUAAAAGCUGCCAAGGCCCCUGUGAAGGCCAGGAUACUUCCCCAAGAUGUCAUCCUCAAAUUCCGGGACAAGAUUGAGAAAAUGGAGAAAGAUGUGUAUGCAGUUCUGCAGCUAGAGGCGGAGGAAAAAGAGAUGCAGCAGUCGGAAGCCCAGAUCAAUACAGCAAAGCGGCUCCUGGAGAAGGGGAAGGAGGCAGUGGUCCAAGAGCCUGAGAGGAGCUGGUUCCAGACCAAAGAAGAGAGGAAGAAGGAGAAAAUUGCCAAAGCUCUGCAGGAAUUUGACUUGGCCUUAAGAGGAAAGAAGAAAAGGAAGAAGUUUAUGAAGGAUGCCAAAAAAAAGGGGGAGAUGACAGCAGAGGAAAGGUCCCAGUUUGAAAUCCUCAAGGCGCAGAUGUUUGCUGAACGGCUAGCGAAGAGGAAUCGCAGAGCCAAGCGGGCCCGAGCAAUGCCCGAGGAGGAGCCAGUGAGAGGUCCUGCCAAGAAGCAAAAGCAGGGGAAGAAAUCUGUAUUUGAUGAAGAACUCACCAACACAAGCAAGAAGGCCCUGAAACAGUAUCGAGCUGGCCCUUCCUUUGAAGAAAGGAAACAGUUGGGCUUGCCCCACCAGAGACGAGGAGGAAACUUUAAAUCUAAAUCCAGGUGAUACUGGCUGUUUUGGAGGGGCAUAGGUUUUGGGAUUAGAGAUAAAAACCUUUCAUGGAAAAGGAGCUUCUCCAUCCUCAUUCUGGUCUUAACUCUGAUUUUCUUACAGAUACAAGAGGAGGAAGUAGCUGUUGUGGCCCGAAGAAAUUCAUGGGGGCAGCCCUUAAAUCCCUUCCCUGUGGGAAGUCAUCCUGGCUGGUCUGUCUUUUCUCCAUUUGUUUUAAAAAAAAAAAAAACAAAAACCAACACUUUGGUGUGGUGGUAUGGUACGUAGCUAUUUUCCUAAGCAUGUCUGUCAAUCUCCCUUCUUGCUGAUUAGCUUUCAUAUGACUAUAUUAAAUGGAAGUAUUUUUGGGAAAAGAGAAACCAA
rnacentral:sRNA from 1 species